GGCCGACCCUGCAGAUACCAGCUGGGUGUUUUAAAGUGCAGCUCUUCUCUGACAUUUCCUGGGCUGUGGCACCCACAGAAGACUUGCCUCUCUUCUGCUGCCAAAGCUACACUCAGGUCUCUGUUACUCCGUACCAACUUCAGGCAACAAAUAGAGACUCCUGCGACCCUGCCCCUAAGGUUCAAUGACUUGCAACAGAGGCUCACAGAACUGAGAAGAACAGCUCAGUACUUCUACUGGCUUAUUUUAUAAGUGUGAUAAAUAGAAAGAGAAAGGCUCCAAGAAUACUAUAGGACCUUCUGCUCUGUGGAAUUGAGCAGCACCAACCGACAGGCUCAUGGGUGUGUUUGUUACCCAGAGAUCUCCAAACUCUACAGUCAAAGUUUCCUAAGUGGAGAGCGAGCAUCCAGACCUGUCUCCCUUGGUUACAGAUGAAGUCUCUAUCCUGAAACCCAACUCUGAGUUUCACUUGUCUGAAAACACUCAUCAGCAAACAUAAGCCAUCAUGACAGAGGUGCAGCUAACUCUUUGGAUCCAUGGUUCUCAGGACUUUCUUUAGCACUGGAUGGUUUGAUAAACAAAAAA